UGAAAAGNGGAAAAAAUUUCGCUGGCCUGGGC
rnacentral:piRNA from 1 species